rnacentral:rRNA from 1 species
UAGAGACUCAGAGCUGCAUAUCAAUAAGCGGAGGAAAAGAAACUAACAAGGAUUCCCUUAGUAACGGCGAGUGAAGCGGGAAGAGCUCAAAUUUGAAAUCUUCAAGGUUCUACCUUGACGAAUUGUAGUUUAUAGAAGUGUUUUCUGUUAGUAGAGUGGCAAAAGUUCUUUGGAAUAGGACAUCAUAGAGGGUGAGAAUCCCGUAUUUGGUCAUUCUUUCUAGCUUUGUGAUACACUUUCAAAGAGUCGGAUUGUUUGGGAAUGCAGUCCAAAAUGGGUGGUAAAUUUCAUCUAAAGCUAAAUAUUGGCGAGAGACCGAUAGCGGACAAGUACCGUGAGGGAAAGAUGAAAAGAACUUUGAAAAGAGAGUUAAACAGUACGUGAAAUUGUCAAAAGGGAAGCGUUUGACACCAGUGUUGUUUUUCCGAAAAUCAAUUACGAAUGUUUUAGUUUUUGAGAAGUUAUGACUUCAUCGGCUUGCUUCUCUCUUUAUGAAACUUUCUUAAUGCACUUUUCGGUUAACAAGUCAACAUCAAUUUCUUUUGUUGUAAAAGGGUAUGAGGAAGGUGGCUUUCUUUUCGGAGAAAGUGUUUAUAGCCUUGUACCUCUGCAAUCGGAGAGAUUGAGGUCUGCAGCGUAGGAUCCUUCGGGGUUAGAUACAUCUGUGCUAAGUUAUAGCUUUUCAUAGACAACUUGUUGACUAUGUUUAGUCUUGUAGCUUACUCAGCUUACUGCUAUUUUACCUACGCUUAGGAUGUUGAAGAUAUGCGCGACACG